GCUGCGGUUUGGUCAUGAAUGUGCCGCUUCUGCCGCUCACUGAACAGAGAAGACGCAGAGAGAGACAUUUUUCCACUCACUGAAAGCUAAGGUUUAUCCAAAAAGAUGCUAGUCGCUUUUCUGAAGGAAAAAACUCCAAACUGUGUGUAUGCGUGCACGCGACGUGGGGUCUGUGACAGAUGCAUCUGCACCGCGAGUGUCCGCUGACCGCACGCAUUGAACCCCGUGAUCUGAAAGGAUUGAAAACGGAUGCAGACAUCGCUUUAUUUCUUCUGAACAGAAUAGCGCUCACAAUCACGCACAAGCGUGCAACGGUCGGCGCAUGCGCACGAAACUUCCCCAAACAACAGAACAACAGAAUGGACCACCAGGCAGCGUGACUCAUGAGGAGGCAGUGGACCUGACACUGGCUGUCUCAUUUCCCUCGGGAUCCCUGCCUCUGUCAAUUCAUGGAUCUGGCUGACACGCGUGGGUGUCUUCAUUCACACUUGUGGAUCGGGGGGCGGCUCGGGCAGCAUAUGCUAAAAAACACCAGACAGCAGAGGGUCUUUCCAGAAAGAGACAGAUUGUGGGCACCGUUUGAAUUGAGGGGU